rnacentral:rRNA from 1 species
UACGAAGGGGGCUAGCGUUGCUCGGAAUUACUGGGCGUAAAGGGCGCGUAGGCGGCCUGCUAAGUCGAACGUGAAAUCCCUGGGCUCAACCCAGGAACUGCGUCCGAUACUGGUUGGCUUGAAUCCGGGAGAGGGAUGCGGAAUUCCAGGUGUAGCGGUGAAAUGCGUAGAUAUCUGGAGGAACACCGGUGGCGAAGGCGGCAUCCUGGACCAAUAUUGACGCUGAGGAGCGAAAGCUAGGGGAGCAAACGGG